GCUCCUGAAGCUGUGAGCUUGGUGGAAGAGGACAACCAUCCCUGACGGAGGAGAACCGGUCUUCAGUCAAGGGUAUACGAGUAAAUGUGCUGCCCUGCUAGAACCUCCAAACAAACUCUCAAGGUCCAAAGUGUGAGAGGGUGGCCGGGCGUGGU
rnacentral:sRNA from 1 species